UUAAGCGACUAAGCGUACACGGUGGAUGCCCUGGCAGUCAGAGGCGAUGAAGGACGUGCUAAUCUGCGAUAAGCGUCGGUAAGGUGGAUAUGAACCGUUAUAACCGGCGAUUUCCGAAUGGGGAAACCCAGUGUGAUUCGUCACACUAUCACUAACUGAAUCCAUAGGUUAAUGAGGCGAACCGGGGGAACUGAAACAUCUAAGUACCCCGAGGAAAAGAAAUCAACCGAGAUUCCCCCAGUAGCGGCGAGCGAACGGGGAGCAGCCCAGAGCCUGAAUCAGUGUGUGUGUUAGUGGAAGCGUCUGGAAAGGCGCGCGAUACAGGGUGACAGCCCCGUACACAAAAAUGCACAUACUGUGAGCUCGAUGAGUAGGGCGGGACACGUGGUAUCCUGUCUGAAUAUGGGGGGACCAUCCUCCAAGGCUAAAUACUCCUGACUGACCGAUAGUGAACCAGUACCGUGAGGGAAAGGCGAAAAGAACCCCGGCGAGGGGAGUGAAAAAGAACCUGAAACCGUGUACGUACAAGCAGUGGGAGCACGCUUAGGCGUGUGACUGCGUACCUUUUGUAUAAUGGGUCAGCGACUUAUAUUCUGUAGCAAGGUUAACCGAAUAGGGGAGCCGAAGGGAAACCGAGUCUUAACUGGGCGUUAAGUUGCAGGGUAUAGACCCGAAACCCGGUGAUCUAGCCAUGGGCAGGUUGAAGGUUGGGCAACACUAACUGGAGGACCGAAUCGACUAAUGUUGAAAAAUUAGCGGAUGACUUGUGGCUGGGGGUGAAAGGCCAAUCAAACCGGGAGAUAGCUGGUUCUCCCCGAAAGCUAUUUAGGUAGCGCCUCGUGAAUUCAUCUCCGGGGGUAGAGCACUGUUUCGGCAAGGGGGUCAUCCCGACUUACCAACCCGAUGCAAACUGCGAAUACCGGAGAAUGUUAUCACGGGAGACACACGGCGGGUGCUAACGUCCGUCGUGAAGAGGGAAACAACCCAGACCGCCAGCUAAGGUCCCAAAGUCAUGGUUAAGUGGGAAACGAUGUGGGAAGGCCCAGACAGCCAGGAUGUUGGCUUAGAAGCAGCCAUCAUUUAAAGAAAGCGUAAUAGCUCACUGGUCGAGUCGGCCUGCGCGGAAGAUGUAACGGGGCUAAACCAUGCACCGAAGCUGCGGCAGCGACGCUGAUGCGUUGUUGGGUAGGGGAGCGUUCUGUAAGCCUGUGAAGGUGUGCUGUGAGGCAUGCUGGAGGUAUCAGAAGUGCGAAUGCUGACAUAAGUAACGAUAAAGCGGGUGAAAAGCCCGCUCGCCGGAAGACCAAGGGUUCCUGUCCAACGUUAAUCGGGGCAGGGUGAGUCGACCCCUAAGGCGAGGCCGAAAGGCGUAGUCGAUGGGAAACAGGUUAAUAUUCCUGUACUUGGUGUUACUGCGAAGGGGGGACGGAGAAGGCUAUGUUGGCCGGGCGACGGUUGUCCCGGUUUAAGCGUGUAGGCUGGUUUUCCAGGCAAAUCCGGAAAAUCAAGGCUGAGGCGUGAUGACGAGGCACUACGGUGCUGAAGCAACAAAUGCCCUGCUUCCAGGAAAAGCCUCUAAGCAUCAGGUAACAUCAAAUCGUACCCCAAACCGACACAGGUGGUCAGGUAGAGAAUACCAAGGCGCUUGAGAGAACUCGGGUGAAGGAACUAGGCAAAAUGGUGCCGUAACUUCGGGAGAAGGCACGCUGAUAUGUAGGUGAAGUCCCUCGCGGAUGGAGCUGAAAUCAGUCGAAGAUACCAGCUGGCUGCAACUGUUUAUUAAAAACACAGCACUGUGCAAACACGAAAGUGGACGUAUACGGUGUGACGCCUGCCCGGUGCCGGAAGGUUAAUUGAUGGGGUCAGCGCAAGCGAAGCUCUUGAUCGAAGCCCCGGUAAACGGCGGCCGUAACUAUAACGGUCCUAAGGUAGCGAAAUUCCUUGUCGGGUAAGUUCCGACCUGCACGAAUGGCGUAAUGAUGGCCAGGCUGUCUCCACCCGAGACUCAGUGAAAUUGAACUCGCUGUGAAGAUGCAGUGUACCCGCGGCAAGACGGAAAGACCCCGUGAACCUUUACUAUAGCUUGACACUGAACAUUGAGCCUUGAUGUGUAGGAUAGGUGGGAGGCUUUGAAGUGUGGACGCCAGUCUGCAUGGAGCCGGCCUUGAAAUACCACCCUUUAAUGUUUGAUGUUCUAACGUUGACCCGUGAUCCGGGUUGCGGACAGUGUCUGGUGGGUAGUUUGACUGGGGCGGUCUCCUCCUAAAGAGUAACGGAGGAGCACGAAGGUUGGCUAAUCCUGGUCGGACAUCAGGAGGUUAGUGCAAUGGCAUAAGCCAGCUUGACUGCGAGCGUGACGGCGCGAGCAGGUGCGAAAGCAGGUCAUAGUGAUCCGGUGGUUCUGAAUGGAAGGGCCAUCGCUCAACGGAUAAAAGGUACUCCGGGGAUAACAGGCUGAUACCGCCCAAGAGUUCAUAUCGACGGCGGUGUUUGGCACCUCGAUGUCGGCUCAUCACAUCCUGGGGCUGAAGUAGGUCCCAAGGGUAUGGCUGUUCGCCAUUUAAAGUGGUACGCGAGCUGGGUUUAGAACGUCGUGAGACAGUUCGGUCCCUAUCUGCCGUGGGCGCUGGAGAACUGAGGGGGGCUGCUCCUAGUACGAGAGGACCGGAGUGGACGCAUCACUGGUGUUCGGGUUGUCAUGCCAAUGGCACUGCCCGGUAGCUAAAUGCGGAAGAGAUAAGUGCUGAAAGCAUCUAAGCACGAAACUUGCCCCGAGAUGAGUUCUCCCUGACUCCUUGAGAGUCCUGAAGGAACGUUGAAGACGACGACGUUGAUAGGCCGGGUGUGUAAGCGCAGCGAUGCGUUGAGCUAACCGGUACUAAUGAACCGUGAGGCUUAACCUU
rnacentral:rRNA from 1 species